UACAGAGGUCUCAAGCGUUGUUCGGAUUCAUUGGGCGUAAAGAGCUCGUAGGCGGUGUGUCGCGUCGGCCGUGAAAACCUGCAGCUUAACUGUGGGCUUGCGGUCGAUACGGGCAUCACUGGAGUUCGGCAGGGGAGACUGGAAUUCCUGGUGUAGCGGUGAAAUGCGCAGAUAUCAGGAGGAACACCGGUGGCGAAGGCGGGUCUCUGGGCCGAUAAUUGACGCUGGAGGAGCGAAAGCGUGGGGAGCGAACAGG
rnacentral:rRNA from 1 species